GGGAGCGGGAGCGGCUGCGGGGCCGAGCUGAGGGAGUCGCGUCUCUCGGGGGGAAUCACCAUACGGACAGGCAGCUGCGGGAGACGGCCCAUGGGUGGCCACAAAGAUGCUGAGGGGACUAGGGCAUCUCUUUUACGAGGGAGCUGCGGGAGCUGGGCCUGUUUUGUCUAGAGAAGGCCGAGAGGGGAUCUCAUUAAUGCACAUAAAUAUCUCAGUGGUGGGUGCCCAGAGGAUGGUGCCAGACUCUUUCCUCUGGUGCCCGGCCACAGGGCGAGGAGCAGUGGCCAUAAACUGAAACACUAGAAGUUUUACCAAGACAGGAGGAAGAACUUCUUUACCCUGAGGGUGGCAGAGCACUGGAACAGGCUGUUCAUGGAGAUCCAUGGAGUUUCCCUCUCUGGAGACAUUGGAAGCCCACCUGCAUGCAUUCCUGCUCCCUUAUUUGCACACAGUAACCUGCUCCGUGUGACCCUGCCUUGGCAGGGGGGUUGGACUAGAGGACCUCCACGAAGUCAUCGUGGGCACCCCAUAAGACAGGGUUUCAGGCAAAGGCAAAAGGAAAGACCUGGUCAAGGGAGCUGCAGGAACCAGAGUCAAUGGAGGUCACAGAACAAAAGUAGGUUCAUAAAUUUGGGAGACAAGUUUCCCUGGCAGCUUUUUUCAGAGUAAGGUGUUUUCCACAUUAUAAAGGUUUAAAAACGCUGGAGACUCAGGUACUCCCAGAUGAUGGAGACCAGAGUCUGUUUAGUGAAGCUGGCAGCCAAAUCUGAAUCACACAGCUAAGGAGGUAUAAAGGCAGGGGAGAGAGCAGGUCAGCUCAGCCUGCUGAAGUGAAGCUAGCUGGGCUGGAGAGGACUUCCCAGGUGCAGGCAGCACCCCCAGGUUCGGCUAGGAGUGACAGGAUGAGAACUGAACUGAAGCAGCAGGCAGCAGCUCCCUGCAGGAAACCUUCCUGCUGAGACAAGCUCCAGAAGGAAGAGGAAUCCCAUCUAGAGGUGUCAAUACACAAAGAAAGUGAGAGAGAAAGCAUUGAGACAUGUGUCCUGCAGGUAGACAAAGCAGACACACAGCCAAGAGUGGUUUCCAGUACCACAAAUGCUGCCAAUGCCCCUGAGUGGAGUGCCUUGAUCCCUGUCACAGCAGCUGGAAUCUGAGCAAUGCAGGUUUGAUAACAGCAAUCCCAGGCAUUUAGGUUUGUUAUCUGGCUUAUACUUCGUUUUAUGCGGUUUGAAUUUGUAGAAUUAUGCUGGCCUGUGGAAAAAGAACUCCAAGCCCAACUGGACAUGCUGAAUUAAUAAAGAAACACCCACAUGUGAGCACACACUCUGAAAACGAAGAACAGGGAGCUGUUUCCCCUCAGGAAGAAUGAAGCCAACUUCAUCCCUUCUCUCAAGCAUGAAUAAAAAUCUGCUGAUCUUA